rnacentral:rRNA from 1 species
GNCCAUCAGCUUGUUGGUGAGGGUAACGGCCCACCAAGGCGACAACGGGUAGCUGGUCUGAGAGGAUGGUCAGCCACACUGGAACUGAGACACGGUCCAGACACCUACGGGUGGCAGCAGUCGAGAGUCAUUCGCAAUGGGGGAAACCCUGACGAUUCUACGCCGCGUGGAGGAUGAAGGCCUUAGGGUUGUAAACUCCUGUCAAGAGGGAAUAAGCAAGUGAAGGUACCUCUAGGGGAAGGGGCGGCUAAUUCCGUGCCAGCAGCCGCGGUAACACGGAAGCCCCGAGCGUUGUUCGGAUUCAUUGGACGUAAAGGGUGCGUAGGCGGCGCGGAAAAGUUCCCGGCGUGAAAGGCAAGGGGCUCAACCUUUUGACUUGCGUUGGAUACUUCCGUGCUUGAGGACUGGAGGGGAAGACUUGGAAUUCACGGUGUAGCAGUGAAAUGCGUAGAUAUCGUGAGGAAGACCGGUGGCGAAGGCGAGUCUCUGGACAGAUCCUGACGCUGAGGCACGAAGGCUGGGGGAGCGAACAGGAUUAGAUACCCUGGUAGUCCCAGCAGUAAACGAUGUGAGCUUGAUGUGGGGGGAUUCGACCCCUUCCGUGUCGAAGCUAACGCGAUAAGCUCACCGCCUGAGGAGUACGGCCGCAAGGCUAAAACUCAAAGAAAUUGACGGGGACCCGCACAAGCGGUGGAGUAUGUGGCUUAAUUCGAUGCAACGCGAAGAACCUUACCUGGCCUUGACAUGCAUUGUGUCGUCGGUGAAAGCCGGCUAGUCCUGGAAACAGGACGCUUUGCACAGGUGCUGCAUGGCUGUCGUCAGCUCGUGUCGUGAGAUGUUGGGUUAAGUCCCGCAACGAGCGCAACCCUUGUGGUCAGUUACUAACCGGCUUAGCCGGAGGACUCUGGCCAGACUGCCCUGUCAAACGGGGAGGAAGGUGGGGACGACGUCAAGUCAGUAUGGCCCUUAUGGCCAGGGCUGCACACGUACUACAAUGCCCGGUACAAUGUGAACCGAAACCGCGAGGUGGAGGAAAUCGCUCUUGAAAACCGGGCCCAGUUCGGAUUGGAGUCUGCAACUCGACUCC